rnacentral:rRNA from 1 species
AGAGUUUGAUCAUGGCUCAGAUUGAACGCUGGCGGUAGGCUUAACACAUGCAAGUCGAGCGGUAACAGAGAUAGCUUGCUAUCUGCUGACGAGCGGCGGACGGGGGAGUAACGCGUAGGAAACUGCCUAGUAGAGGGGGAUAGCCCAGAGAAAUUUGGAUUAAUACCGCAUACGCCCUACGGGGGAAAAGGGGCUUCGGCUCUUACUAUUAGAUGUGCCUGCGUAAGAUUAGCUUGUUGGUGAGGUAAUGGCUCACCAAGGCGACGAUCUUUAGCUGGUCUGAGAGGAUGAUCAGCCACACUGGAACUGAGACACGGUCCAGACUCCUACGGGAGGCAGCAGUGGGGAAUAUUGCACAAUGGGCGAAAGCCUGAUGCAGCCAUACCGCGUGUGUGAAGAAGGCCCUAGGGUUGUAAAGCACUUUCAGUUGGGAGGAAAAGUUAUAGUUUAAUACGCUAUAGCCGUGACGUUACCAACAGAAUAAGCACCGGCUAACUCCGUGCCAGCAGCCGCGGUAAUACGGAGGUGCAAGCGCGAUAAUCGGAAACACUGCGUAUAGCGCGCGUUAGGUGGUUUGUUAAGCGAGAUGUGAAAGCCCCGGGCUCAACCUGGGAACUGCAUUUCGAACUGGCAGGCUAGAGUAUGGUAGAGGUAAGUGGAAUUUCCUGUGUAGCGGUGAAAUGCGUAGAUAUAGGAAGGAACACCAGUGGCGAAGGCGACUUACUGGACCAAUACUGACUUGAGGUGUGCGAGCGUGGGGGGAGCAACAGGAUUAGAUCCCCUGGUAGUCCACGCCGUAAACGAUGUCUACUAGCCGUUGGGAGACUUGAUCUCUUAGUGGCGCAGCUAACGCAAUAAGUAGACCGCCUGGGGAGUACGCCCGCAAGGUUAAAACUCAAAUGACUUGACGGGGGCCCGCACAAGCGGUGGAGCAUGUGUUUUAAUUCAACGCAACGCGAAGAACCUGACCGGGGCUUGACAGCCUACUAACUUACUAGAGAUAGUUUGGUGUCUUCGGGAACGUAGUGACAGGUGCUGCAUGGCUGUCGUCAGCUCGUGUUGUGAAAUGUUGGGUUAAGUCCCGUAACGAGCGCAACCCUUAUCCUUAUUUGCCAGCCUAAUGGUGGGAACUCUAAGGAGACUGCCGGUGACAAACCGGAGGAAGGUGGGGACGACGUCAAGUCAUCAUGGCCCUUACGAGUAGGGCUACACACGUGCUACAAUGGCCGGUACAGAGGGCUGCUAAACCGCGAGGUGGCGCUAAUCUCAGAAAACCGGUCGUAGUCCGGAUCGGAGUCUGCAACUCGACUCCGUGAAGUCGGAAUCGCUAGUAAUCGCGAAUCAGAAUGUCGCGGUGAAUACGUUCCCGGGCCUUGUACACACCGCCCGUCACACCAUGGGAGUGGGUUGCACCAGAAGUAGCUAGACUAACCUUCGGGAGGUCGGUUACCACGGUGUGAUUCAUGACUGGGGUGAAGUCGUAACAAGGUA